CCUAACCUAAUGCUGGCCACCAAUAGGGCUAAACAGUGUUAGCAGGUACUGUCAGCAGGCCUCAGGCAGAAGCAGACAAGAAGGGUAAGAAGUAAAGGAGAGGGAGGAAAGGAGUUGAAAGAAUAAGAGAAUGAGGUGAAAGCUGAAGUCCCCACAGAGGGAAAUGCCACAAGACUAGGCCGUGCAACAUUUCCGCAGUGCUCCUCGCUACAAAGACAUUCCCCUAAGGCUGGUGGGCAACUCAACACUCAGCUCAGUACGUGGUCAGCUCGUCCUCCAUAGGAGCCUUAUGCCUUGGUGAGGAGAUCUCUGAAGAAAUUGCUGAUGAAAGUCCAACAGGCUCUUCCAGUUUGUCUGGUCGGUCACAUUUGCUGAAACCUGGAGGAAUUGUUAGUGGAAGCUCAACAGGCCUGACUCAGUCUGACUGUCCAUUCUUCUGGAAGCUGCAGAGAAAAGAAACCUGGAAACCUUAUAUGCUGACAAAAAGGGACACAAUUGGAUAUGAUGGUUAUUUUACCAAGGUUUUGAAAUGUCGUGCUUUCAAAUAUAAACAGACUGCUUUAAGGAAUCGAAGUUGACUUAUAGAGCCAAUAAAAGCCCUGCAGGAAAGCUGGCCUCAUACUUUGUCUACACAGUCUCUGUACAGGUUUCCUGACCUGUGAGAUGGAGCUUAAUUUCCCUCCCCUUGAGUACUUGGUGACUUGCUCCUGGCAGAUAGAAAGUGAAAGAAAUGAUGGAAUGUCACAUCCAAGAUUAGAGGAGUGGAUACACCUACAAGAUUAGGAGACUACAGCUUCUGUGUUGGGUUCUCUCUUUCUUUUUCAUAUUCUCUCAUUCUGAUUUCUCAUUCUGGGGACCAGCUUCCAAGUUGUCUGAGGAGCCUUAUGAAGAGGCUCACGUGGUGAGGAACGGAAAUUUACUGAAUAAGCUCAGAGGGAGAUUCUCCAGCUCCUUCAGAUGACUGCAGCCCUGGCCAACAAUCUGACUAUAAUUUCAUGAGAGAGUCAGAGAGGGAACCAUCCAGCUAAGCCACUCUCAGAUUCCUGACCCACAGAAAUUACGUGAGACUAAUGCUUGUUUAAAGCUGCUAAGUUUUAGGAUAAUUCAUUAUGUAGCAUUAGAUAACUAAUAUUAGUUCUUCUCUGUAUUUAAAUUUUUUCCCCCAAAAAAGAGAAAAAGCAUCUCUAUGUAAA
rnacentral:lncRNA from 1 species